CCUACGGGAGGCAGCAGUCGAGAAUCAUUCACAAUGGGGGAAACCCUGAUGGUGCGACGCCGCGUGGGGGAAUGAAGGUCUUCGGAUUGUAAACCCCUGUCAUGUGGGAGCAAAUUAAAAAGAUAGUACCACAAGAGGAAGAGACGGCUAACUCUGUGCCAGCAGCCGCGGUAAGACAGAGGUCUCAAGCGUUGUUCGGAUUCACUGGGCGUAAAGCGUGCGUAGGCUGUUUCGUAAGUCGUGUGUGAAAGGCGCGGGCCCAACCCGCGGACGGCACAUGAUACUGCGAGACUAGAGUAAUGGAGGGGGAACCGGAAUUCUCGGUGUAGCAGUGAAAUGCGUAGAUAUCGAGAGGAACACUCGUGGCGAAGGCGGGUUCCUGGACAUUAACUGACGCUGAGGCACGAAGGCCAGGGGAGCGAAAGGGAUUAGAUACCCUUGUAGUC
rnacentral:rRNA from 1 species